GACGAACGCUGGCGGCGUGCCUAAUACAUGCAAGUAGGGCGCAGUUGCGACGGGGUGAGUAACGCGUCGGUAACUGCCCAUUAGAGGGGGAUAACUCUUGGAAACGAUAGCUAAUACCGCAUACUAGUAGAUGGACCUGCGUUGUAUUAGCUAGUCGGUAGGGUAAUGGCCUACCUAGGCAACGAUACAUAGCAGACCGGGGAGGGGGAGCUGCCACAAUGUGGCUGGGCAAAGGCCCGGACACCUACGGGAGGGCGCAGUAGGGAAGCUUCGGCAAUGGGGGGAACCCUGACCAGGCAACGCCGCUGGAGGGAAGAAGGUUUUCGGAUCGUAAAGCGCUGUUGUUAAGGAAGCGGUACUUAACCAGAAAGGGAAGGCUAACUACGUGCCAGCAGCCGCGGUAAUAC
rnacentral:rRNA from 1 species